CCAGACUCCUACGGGAGGCAGCAGUGGGGAAUAUUGGACAAUGGGGGGAACCCUGAUCCAGCGACGCCGCGUGAGUGAAGAAGUAUUUCGGUAUGUAAAGCUCUAUCAGCAGGGAAGAAAGAAAUGACGGUACCUGAAGAAGAAGCCCCGGCUAACUACGUGCCAGCAGCCGCGGUAAUACGUAGGGGGCAAGCGUUAUCCGGAUUUACUGGGUGUAAAGGGAGCGUAGACGGCGAUGCAAGCCAGAUGUGAAAGCCCGGGGCUCAACCCCGGGACUGCAUUUGGAACUGUGUGGCUGGAGUGUCGGAGAGGCAGGCGGAAUUCCUAGUGUAGCGGUGAAAUGCGUAGAUAUUAGGAGGAACACCAGUGGCGAAGGCGGCCUGCUGGACGAUGACUGACGUUGAGGCUCGAAAGCGUGGGGAGCAAACAGGAUUAGAUACCCCAGUAUUG
rnacentral:rRNA from 1 species